rnacentral:rRNA from 1 species
GUGGCGGACGGGUGAGUAACGCGUGGGUAACCUGCCUCACACUGGGGGAUAACAGUCAGAGAUGACUGCUAAUACCGCAUAAGCGCACGGGAUUGCAUGAUCCAGUGUGAAAAACUCCGGUGGUGUGAGAUGGACCCGCGUUGGAUUAGCCAGUUGGCAGGGUAACGGCCUACCAAAGCGACGAUCCAUAGCCGGCCUGAGAGGGUGGACGGCCACAUUGGGACUGAGACACGGCCCAGACUCCUACGGGAGGCAGCAGUGGGGAAUAUUGCACAAUGGGGGAAACCCUGAUGCAGCGACGCCGCGUGAAGGAAGAAGUAUCUCGGUAUGUAAACUUCUAUCAGCAGGGAAGAAAAUGACGGUACCUGACUAAGAAGCCCCGGCUAACUACGUGCCAGCAGCCGCGGUAAUACGUAGGGGGCAAGCGUUAUCCGGAUUUACUGGGUGUAAAGGGAGCGUAGACGGAGCAGCAAGUCUGAUGUGAAAGGCGGGGGCUCAACCCCCGGACUGCAUUGGAAACUGUUGAUCUUGAGUACCGGAGAGGUAAGCGGAAUUCCUAGUGUAGCGGUGAAAUGCGUAGAUAUUAGGAGGAACACCAGUGGCGAAGGC